AUUGAACGCUAGCGGCAUGCUUUACACAUGCAAGUCGAACGGAGUGGCGGACGGGUGAGUAAUAUCUCGGAACGUGCCUAGUAGCGGGGGAUAACUACUCGAAACAGUGGCUAAUACCGCAUACUAUUGGAGCGGCCCAUAUCGGAUUAGCUAGUUGGUGGGGUAACGGCUCACCAAGGCAACGAUCCAUAGCUGGUUUGAGAGGACGACCAGCCACACUGGGACUGAGACACGGCCCAGACUCCUACGGGAGGCAGCAGUGGGGAAUUUUGGACAAUGGGCGAAACCCUGAUGCAGCCAUCCCGCGUGUAUGAUGAAGGCCUUCGGGUUGUAAAGUACUUUUGGCGGAGAAGCGGUAUCUGCAGAAGAAGCACCGGCUAACUACGUGCCAGCAGCCGCGGUAAUAC
rnacentral:rRNA from 1 species